GUGGCGGUUGACGGCAACGUUAGGAAGUCCGGAGACGUCGGCGGGGGCCUCGGGAAGAGUUACUCUUUUCGUGUUUAACAGCCUGGCCCACCCUGGAAACGACUCAGUCGGAGGUAGGGUCCAGCGGCUGGAAGAGCACCGCACGUCGCGUGGUGUCCGGUGCGCCCCCGGCGGCCCUUGAAAAUCUGGAGGACCGAGUGCCGUCCAC
rnacentral:ncRNA from 1 species